ACGAAGUAGCAAUACUUAGUGGCAGACGGGUGAGUAACAUGUAGGUAUCUACCCUAUGGCCUGGAAUAACACGAGGAAACUUGUGCUAAUACCAGAUAAGUCUUUACAGAGAAAGCUUUAUGCACCAUUGGAUGAGCCUGCACUUGAUUAGUUUGUUGGUAGGGUAAUGGCCUACCAAGACUGUGAUCAAUAGCUGAUUUGAGAGGAUGAUCAGCCACAUUGGGACUGAGACACGGCCCAAACUCCUACGGGAGGCAGCGGUGGGGAAUCUUGCACAAUGGAGGAAACUCUGAUGCAGCGAUGCCGCGUGAGUGAAGAAGGCCUUUGGGUUGUAAAGCUCUUUCGUCGGGGAAGAAAAUGACUGUACCCGAAUAAGAAGGUCCGGCUAACUUCGUGCCAGCAGCCGCGGUAAUACGAAGGGACCUAGCGUAGUUCGGAAUUACUGGGCUUAAAGAGUUCGUAGGUGGUUGAAAAAGUUGGUGGUGAAAUCCCAGAGCUUAACUCUGGAACUGCCAUCAAAACUUUUCAGCUAGAGUUUGAUAGAGGAAAGCAGAAUUUCUAGUGUAGAGGUGAAAUUCGUAGAUAUUAGAAAGAAUACCAAUUGCGAAGGCAGCUUUCCGGAUCAUUACUGACACUGAGGAACGAAAGCAUGGGUAGCGAAGAGGAUUAGAUACCCUCGUAGUCCAUGCCGUAAACCAUGUGUGUUAGACGUUGGAAAAUUUUUUU
rnacentral:rRNA from 1 species